GACCUGCACGAAGGCCGCCAGCGCGAAGAAGGCGGCCAUGAGCCCGUUGCAGGCCCGCCACAGGGCCGGCGCCAUGGGUCGGACAGCGCGGCGCGGGGCGGCCCCUAAGGUAAAAGCCAUGCUCCAAGUCCCCUUCUGACUUCUAGUCACUUCCUUGCUGCCAGCAGAGGGCAUGGGAUUCUUCCUGAGGAGCCUGAGUCUCAGCUUUGCCAGGUCCUUGCUGUGUGACCUUGGGCACCUGUGCUCCCUUGACAAAGAGGAAUAAAACCUCUUCAUACUACUCUCCUUUUGAUUCUCUCCUGGAACAUAUGACCACCAUCAAUUAUAGGCAAGAACAUGAACACGGGAGUCCCAAAGACCUGGGUUCAAAUGUCAGGCCCUUCACUCGCUGGCUGUAGGUGUGAGGCCCUGGGCAAGGUCCUUACCUCCCCAAGUGUCUGAGCCUGUUCCCGUAUAACGUUCACUUGACUUGAAUGUCAUGAAAUGUACAUUAGACUUUGUAAGUAAACACCUAGCUGAGUACCUGGAGCAUAGUAAGUGCUUAUCACAUGUUCCAUGGAGU
rnacentral:antisense_RNA from 1 species